GUGCUCGGUCUGGCAACAUAUAUACUAAAAUUGAAACUAUACAGAGAAGAUGAGCAUGGCCCCUGCACAAGGAUGAUACACAAAUUUGUGAAGCAUCCCAUAUAUUU
rnacentral:snRNA from 1 species